UACAGAGGGUGCGAGCGUUAAUCGGAAUUACUGGGCGUAAAGCGUGCGUAGACGGCUAUCUAAGUCGGGUGUGAAAGCCCCGGGCUCAACCUGGGAAUUGCAUUCGAGACUGAAUAGCUAGGGUACGGUAGAGGGAAGCGGAAUUUCCAGUGUAGCGGUGAAAUGCGUAGAGAUGUGGAGGAACACCAGUGGCGAAGGCGGCUUUCUGGUCUGUAACUGACGCUGAGGCGCGAAAGCGUGGGGAGCAAACAGG
rnacentral:rRNA from 1 species